ncrna:unclassified sequences L13-Bacteroidia ribosomal protein leader
GGGGAAAACACUUAGAAUCCCCGUGGACUAGAGUGUGAAUAGCAACGUCUUUGGCCGGACGUCGUGGUUCGGGAAUC